rnacentral:rRNA from 1 species
CUACGGGAGGCAGCAGUGGGGAAUAUUGGACAAUGGGCGCAAGCCUGAUCCAGCCAUACCGCGUGGGUGAAGAAGGCCUUCGGGUUGUAAAGCCCUUUUGUUGGGAAAGAAAUCCAGCUGGCUAAUACCCGGUUGGGAUGACGGUACCCAAAGAAUAAGCACCGGCUAACUUCGUGCCAGCAGCCGCGGUAAUACGAAGGGUGCAAGCGUUACUCGGAAUUACUGGGCG